ACUAAACGACCAAUACCGCCGCCAAAACAAAACGCCCGACACAUUGUUGUCGCCGCUCCUCUACCGGAGUCGGCUUGACCUUGUCAAUGCCAACCAGAAAGUCUUCAUGCACGUGUCCGUAAGGACCAACGCUUAAAUAAAUUUGAAAUACCUAACAUAAAAUCUCACGGCAUAAUGAGAAACCCUAACCUCAACCAUCCCAAGAAGACAGACGGUAGGAAUAUAAGUCGGAACUCCGUAAACUAUGUCAUGAACAGGAGGGUCGGAGUCAGAAAGACAAACUAAAAAAAGAAACGCCACAAUCCGUCCGAGCGCCGCACCCGCGAAGACUAAAAAAAUCCUAAGCUACUUUUUUUUAGAAAAGAAAGAUAACCCUGGGCCUCUGCAUCGAGAGAUGCAUGCAUUCAUAUUGUUAAUUAACAAGUAGCGUAACAAAAUCUUGGAUCCACGAACGGUUCACAAACUAAGCGGAAAAAGGAAAGUAUAUAAAAAAGAUGCCACAUCCGGCGAUAAAGAACAUGGUAUGAUGUCUAUACACAUAGCUUAUUAUUAACUCGCCAUCCAAAUCUACUAAAGACAGCCCGUGCUACUGUUCUUGAACGGUUGCAUCCAAUAAUCAAAACUUUCAUAAAAUUCGAUAAGUGAGCAACGACCACGUACAGAUUCAAGCCAUAGCUCUGUACAUAACUUACAAAAAAAAAUCCUAAACUACUAACCGAAGACCAACAGUAUCCUUGCUACCACCGGCUGUUGGUAAUCCACGGGCUCGACGAUAAAGCCUGGAAGACAGAGUUUCCCCUAGCCUUCAAGGAAUAGGGAAAGAAAAGAGAAAACAUACAUUGGUUCUAUCGGCUCUCCCCUAAUCUAGGAGUUAAAAUGAUGCAACACCGUCAUUUAUCUGAUAAUUUAAUAUUUAGUUAUUGAUGUGGGAAGAAUGGUAUGUAGAACUAAUGGCAACAUGAGCGAUCUAAGUGCCAAAAGAAGAAGACGAAAACAUAAAGCAUGAGCUAUCAAUAUUGAGUCAAAUUCCCUUGAUAAAAGCUACUCUCUGCAAUCCAUAUUAAUUAUCAUUUAUUUAAUGUAAUUUAGUAGCUCUAUUAGUUUUAUUAUAUUUUUAAAGUAAAAU
rnacentral:lncRNA from 1 species